UUUGCUGUUGAUUGGAGUCCAGAUGGUGAGAAGGUAGCCUCCGGUGGUAGGGACAGAGUACUCAAUUUAUGGAUGGGUUGAUGGCUAAAGGAGGAAGAGAUGUAUGAAAUGAAGAUUGACAUGAUUCUUCCACAACAUGAUGGACUUGGCAGACACUCAACUUUUGCCUAUAGUUGAUAGUCUACCAUGUGUAACUUAAAGGUUGUGCACUAAGUUCUGAUGUUAUGAAGGAUCGAGGGUGGUUUGUGCACUAAGCUCUUCUAAAAUAUUUUUCUUUAUUGAGCUGUAAUGAUUGUAUUAUUUGGAUUUAAUUGUAUUCAUUAGGUUUGUAGAUCACGAUAUGAUUAUUUUCCUCUUUGAUCAUGUAAAGUUAGGAAGCAGUUAUGGGUUACUAUAUUAGCAUGGUAUAUUGAUGCACACAGUUUGUGGCAUGACAGUUUGAUGAAAUUACAGAAGUGUAGCACUCAUAGGCAUAUCAUGUGAACCUUAUUCAAUGUGGCAUUGACAGUUAGUUUAUAUUUACAUGGGUGUAAUGUCGCACUAGUAUCCUCUAAUGAACCUUGGAUUCUUUUUUCUCCGUUUCUUCCUCUCUUGGUCAAGCAAAACAAUUUAUCUUCAUGACUUCCUCCUAUUACCAAAAAGCAACAUCUUGUGUUCUCCAUCUCUUCAUUCCCUUGUCAAGACACAACAAUUUGAUGCAUUUUUGCAUUGGGUUGCUUCCUCUCCUUCCCUUCUCCUUCCUCCUCGUCUCAUUGCUUAGUUUUGGCUAUGUUUAUUUUGAUCAUUAUGGUAGAGCAUCCUUGCAAGAUGUACAAGAAAUAUGUUGUGGUGCAUUAUCCCCUUCUCUACCACCCGAAAUCUGUUUUCCAUGAUCAUUAAUACCAAGAUGUUUAAGCAUCAAGUAAGGCAUCUCUCAACAAUUAUGCGAGAAAUAAGAGACAAGCAACAUACCAGUAUUCAAGAGAAGUGAUGUUCUACAUUUGCAUUUGACAACAUGCAUUUAGUCUGAACUCCAAAUUUGGGCAACUCAGAAUCUCCACCUUCAUUAUGAUUGCAGAAAGUUGCCUUCUUGGAAAAAUGUGGAAAUUGGGCAUUUAGAAAUCUAAAAGAAUCACAGUGGCAUGUUGCUACUUUUGAAUCAUUCCAAUC
rnacentral:lncRNA from 1 species